rnacentral:lncRNA from 1 species
GUUGCCCACACACACCGCUGCGGCUCCCUCACUCACUGGAGGGGUGCAGAGAUAGAGAAUGAAACCACGAGAGCCCCUGAACCCAAGAGAAGACUCCAGGAUCCUUCUUCUUCCAAAGCGUUCAGUGUCCCCUCCCUCUGGUGAACUAAACCUACACAGGAGUAUCCCGGAGAAGCCCUCCGAAUCUGUUCCUUCGCUGUCCUCCCGCCCGAGGGAGGAUCAUAAACCGUCAGCUGGCAGCAUGAUGGAUCCUAUCCAUUUUUUAAAAAAGGAGUGACAGCUGGCCUGGGCUGGAGCAUAAACUGGCACUGUGAAGAGACAAGUGCGCAAGCAAGCAGCUGGCCCUGAGAGUGUACUGCACAAGACAGCAUGCACGCCAUUUUCAAAGAACUACAAGAAGUCUCUCUUCUUCACUCUCAUUAUUAAAGUCAUUUAGGCCCUUGAGCCAAAAUCUUUCUGAAUCCCCAUUCAUAUUUAUGUCAAGCUUCUUUUCACGUUGCCGAAGACAGACAUCCCUUUUGCUGCACAGUUCGUUUCGUAUUUUCAUUUCAGCGUAACAUGAUAUGCUGCAGUCGUCCUCAAAAGCAUGCACAAGUCUCGGCUCAUUCUUCCUUCAUCUCGCUCUAACAAGGAGCUUUUUUUAAAAAAAAAACAACAUUGCGUGACCUGGCACGGAAGACAGGGGUGACCUGCCACAUAAAACACUGCUUCCUGCCUACAGGGCUGUCUCCCAAGUCUCUCAGCAGCUUGCUCAGUCAUACCUGGAUAAAACACAUGGUGUAACUGACACUGUUUACAGAUCUCUACACGCUUAUCCAACCUCUCCUGUUUUCCUCAGCUUCUUCCCGCUUGAAGUGAUGAACACAGAAUCACUGACAAGACUUGUGAUCUCAAGUUCCAAAAGGUGGGCAGGCAGGGGAGAGUUUAAAAUGUAUUGUUUUCCUCACCCUUUCAAUUAUCUACUGUACUUCGGUGGAAAAGUCUAAAGGGCUCUGAAUGAUCUGUUUUUUAUGUGUCGUAUUAAAAUGAACAAAUACAUAACAAAAAGCAGUACUUGCAAACAAAUAAGACUUGUUACAAUUUAUUUAUAAAUAAUGUGGGAGCUGAUAUUAAAUGAAAAGAACUGAAA